UACGUAGGCAGCGAGCGUUGUUCGGAGUUACUGGGCGUAAAGAGUGCGUAGGCGGUUUUCUAAGUUUGGUGUGAAAUCUCCCGGCUUAACUGGGAGGGUGCGCCGAAAACUGGAAGGCUUGAGUAUGGGAGAGGUAAGCGGAAUUCCUGGUGUAGCGGUGAAAUGCGUAGAUAUCAGGAGGAACACCAGUGGCGAAGGCGACUUCCUGGCCUGUUCUUGACGCUGAGGCGCGAAAGCUAGGGUAGCAAACGGG
rnacentral:rRNA from 1 species